GACGAACGCUGGCGGCGUGCUUAACACAUGCAAGUCGAACGAUGAAGCUAGAGCUUGCUCUGGUGAAUUAGUGGCGAACGGGUGAGUAAUACGUGAGUAACCUGCCCCGAACUCUGGGAUAACUGCUGGAAACGGUAGCUAAUACUGGAUACGACCUACGAAGGCAUCUUCUGUAGGUGGAAAGAAUUUCGGUUCGGGAUGGACUCGCGGCCUAUCAGCUUGUUGGUGAGGUAAUGGCUCACCAAGGCGACGACGGGUAGCCGGCCUGAGAGGGUGGCCGGCCACACUGGGACUGAGACACGGGCCAGACUCCUACGGGAGGCAGCAGUGGGGAAUAUUGCACAAUGGGCGCAAGCCUGAUGCAGCAACGCCGCGUGAGGGAUGACGGCCUUCGGGUUGUAAACCUCUUUUAGUAGGGAAGAAGCGAAAGUGACGGUACCUGCAGAAAAAGCACCGGCUGACUACGUGCCAGCCGCCGCAGUAA
rnacentral:rRNA from 1 species